CUCUUGGGGAAACAGUAUGACCCCAUAAAGGGUUCCAGACCAGAUUCUGUAGUUUUUUCUCUGUAUAUGGGAAUUCUGUCCAGGGUCAGGGCGAUUAAUGACAGAUAUAAUUAAUCUGAUGUUAUUCAAAUCAGUUGAUGAAAACUGAAAGUAAUGACUGUAUGAGUAACUGUGGAAGGAAAGAUGUGCACUGUGGUGUCUGUUGCAAAGUCUGAUUUUCUGGAAACAGUGAAUAAUACGGCUUUUUCAAGGGAGGAUUUGAUGAACAUCCAGGCUGAAGAAACUGAUUUCAUACACUAAUCUGUGCUUAGAAUCAACAGACUGCAGCUAUUUACUCCUAUAGCUCUCCAUUUUGGAUUCUGGAUUGGAAGGACCCAAUUUAUCACCUCUUGUACCAUUUGCAGAACUGUGGUUGCUGCAAAAGAAUCCAGGUGAGAUGACACCAAAGGUUCCUUGCUGCCAGCUCACAAUUCUAAAUGCAACUAAAGGAGCAUUUGUAUUUAAUAGAUCUAACCUUGCUUCAACAGCCCACCUAGCUGGGAGUGCUGGACUUUUAUCCGGGAAGACAAAAUACCAAGAGAAAGAAGAUGCUAAAGGACACGUGUUCUACUCUGCAGUAUCAUCCCCGGAAGAGCACAGGAACUGAAGAAACAGGGAAUGAGAGUCCUGGAAGGAACUCCUGAAUAAGCCUGCUCUCAUGUUUUCAUUCCUGAAAUACAGAAGGCUUUGAG
ensembl:lncRNA